CGCCGUUGUCGGGGACUCGUGGUUUAAUAUCUUUUUAUUUUUUUAUUUUUUAUUUUUUUUAAAAAUAUAAAAAAGUGCUACUAGGGUUUGUGUUUCUUGUGCAUGCAGCAGGAGCCCAGACAUACUAGGAGCAAGAAAAAUACGCAACCUCUUCUUGAAGGCUUAAGCGAAGCAAGAGGAAGAAGGAGAGUCAGACGCCCAUCUAGGGAUUUGUUUCCUUCACCUGACAAAUUACUAUCACCUUCACCAGAUAGAAGAACAGAGGAGAUGGCUGAAAGAACUCCUCC
rnacentral:lncRNA from 1 species